CACCACAAGCCUUAUGUUAAUGAACCUGCACUGGCCAGUCAAUCAGCACUCAUUAAAUCUAAUGAGCUUCAUGCUCAUACACACAGGGCUCACCAAUAGCCAAACGUACAAAAGCUACUGAUUACUUAAUGAACAGGUUAAAUACAUGGCUCAAAACUGCUCCAGACAAAAGUGUGGCGAGCAUGGCUGGAUGAGAAAAGCAAUCCCCAGACCUAGUCAAGCUAGCUAGACUAACCUAACUAUCUUCUGAGACAUACCGGGCUCGAGGCUAACAUGCCCCCUCCCCAGGGUAGCCUCUCCGCAGACUAAUCUCUCCAGGGAGUGUGAAAACAAGUUCUAACAAACAGGCCAAAACAACCAUGCUCACUUCCUUAAAUUAGAGCAACUGACCUCCAUGAAAAGCAAGAGUGAGUCUUCCAGCCAUACUUCCCCAGCACUGACUAAAGUACAUUCAAAAGUGCAGCAAAGUUUGCAAUCGCCAAUGCCAGACAUAUAGAAACAGACAAAAUGAGUUCCAUCAAGGAACUUCACAAUUUCAAAAUUUGCGGCUCAAGUCAGCAAUUAAAUGUGCAAAGAAGCCAAGUUGGUCCACAAAAGUGCAGAUAAAGCCACACAGCUUUGGGCAGUGGACUACCCUGAACAUAUACAAGUACAACAUUAUUCUUAAUGGGAAUAAUAACCAGACUUCAAUAUAAGAACAAUGUGCAAAUGCAAACAAAACUGGGACUGCUGGCAAUAAGGUGUUCAUCAGGGUCAAGGUGAUCAAAGAUCUUUAAACGCAAUGGGCCAAUUACAGUGCUGCUAAUGACUGAGCAGCCAAACAAGUAGCCAUGAAAGUGGGUUCCACUCCCACUUGACAAAAUGGCUACUGCAAAGAGGUGAACAAAGAUGAAUACAAAGUGACUUGACAAAUUUGAGACCCCCACCACUUACAAAUAUCAUCUGAUCUAUGGAGUGACUACAUCCCACAUACAAGGGUCACAAGACAAUUUACUGUCAAAACAAACAGUAAUACACAAGUGGCUCAACAAAAAUGGACUGCAACUACCACGACACAAAGGGACACAAUGUAGUUACCACUACAAACAAAUGUUGCCAACUUACUCUAAAGUUGAAACCAAACGUGACCCAACAAUGUGGAGUGCAAGCACCACAAAAGAGUCCACUACCAGUUACUGCACACAAAAGUCUUCCUCAGUUAACAAUCUUACACACAUGCACUCACUUCAUGGAUAUUCUAUCCCGGACGAGCCCCCAAUUUGUUACGCCCCACUUCUAGUUGGCCGUAAAAGGGCUAACAACAAACCACCCUUGACCCCAAAUGUCAAAGGACACCUUUUACAAAAACCCAACCAGUGGGAUUUAUUUACAUAAACAUGAAAAGGACACAACAUUAAGAUAUACAACAAAGUCCAAAACAUAAAGACAAUACAAAAGAGGUGGCCCGACCAGCCAGCAGUCCCAUGACCAAAAGCAUCCCCAUGGGAAGGGGAAUCUGUCGCCUUUAACUCCGGUCCUGACGAGCGGUCCAGGUGCUCCUAAUCAGCUGCACUGAUGCAGCACACCUGAGCAUGGGCUGAGACAUGUCAACAGAACAGGGACAAACAAAGCAAGCCCCCUUUUGAGGAUGAACUGUGCACGUUUAACUUGAUUGUGCCCCUGCACCACCCAAAGACCAAUGCACUGCCACUGCAAGGCCAGUGGGGUGUAGAGGGCGUAACAGACCACCUUCUAUAAAUUAUGAAUUUAGCUGUUGUUGGACAAUGGAGACAGUUGAUCAAUGUUAGGACAUUGAAGAGCGGGUCUGCAUGUUCUAGUAGGAUCAAUGCUCAUUUUCAUUUUCUCUUGAAGGCCAAGAGCAACCCAGAGACAGUACAUAAAGCAGGCAUUAGAUGCAUAAACUCCUCGAGGUAUAUGACUAUUGUACGGGGAAUAGCCCCCCUGGUGUCCCGCCUCCCCCCACCAGGGGGCGCCCUCCUUACAGCGUAUUCCCAGAAUGCAAAGCGAGCCGCAUACCGCUUCUAUUAAAGCUUCAGACUUCCGUCGGAUCCUUCCAUUCCUUCUCAAUGUGGUGGAGUGACUUCAUGCUCUUGGUAAGAUUCCUAUUGUGUUAUAUUUAAAUGAAUUGGUGGUGUUGGUUCUGUUGUGUUAGAAUAAGACUAUUUGAUUAUAACUUGGUUCUGCUCUUACUUUUGCUAUAUGUGCAAUGUGUAUAUAUAUAAAGUAGGCCACGUGCGGGAAGUAUUGUACAAAUGUCAGAGAAUCGAGUAAUUUAAUUUCUGAUCUUGAGGACUUUAUUCAUAAUAAAGGGAGAGCUUGAGAAGUUUAUUCUGUUGGCUUUAAAUAAAAUGGCAUGAAUCUGCCGAGGCUAGCCCACUAAGGGUUAGUCCGGUACAGGCCUCACCAUGCGGGCCCCCACCGACCAACACUCAAGUCAGCUGCCCGGGUCAUAGUGCUCGGCUCAGUGUUACAGUGCUGGAAGAGGAAGCCCUGUAACCGCGACGGUUCUGCCGCCUCUGUUUUAGAGCUGGCUCUGCCGAAAUGUUGCAAGGUUCGACCCAACGAGAGUGGCCUGAUCCGAUACCCCGCUGGUCAGGCCUAGUGUCGGGUCACACAUCCCUAACCCUUGAGCAUGUGCGCAUGAAAAGAAAGUCACUAAUAUUCGGCAUGAUGUCGAAGUUUGCUUUUCCAAUGGUUAUCCCGAUACUGGUGUUGCUUCAGGACCUGAUGGUUGGCUGAGGGUUGCCUGUGGGGUCUUGAUGAGACUAAUUUGUGCAGGCUGCCAAUCUGCUCUGCUAAGAUGCCAAUCAACGGCCCAAAGACGUCAACCAAAGCAGGCUGUCAUCUGCUGCGCUGGUUCUUUUGCUUCAACCAGUUGACCAAGGAGGUCAUGGUAGACGACAUGAUGGGUCACUGUGUAUAGCGGACUGCAAAGUUAAUUACUUGAUUGCAGGCGUAAUGCCCCAAAGACCACCAGAAUCAGGCUGUCAUCUGCUGCGCUGGUUCUUUUGCUUCAACCAGUUGACCAAGGAGGUCAUGGUAGACGACAUGAUGGGUCACUGUGUAUAGCGGACUGCAAAGUUAAUUACUUGAUUGCAGGCGUAAUGCCCCAAAGACCACCAGAAUCAGGUGUGGAAUGACUCUUGCUCCUGGGACUUCUCUGGAAUAUAUUCCAGGUUCCUAUUAAUUCAUGCUCUGUUGAAAUAAAAAUGUUUUAACUUGAGUCUUAAUUUUGUCACUCUACUGGUAGUGUUUUGGUCAUUGGGCAAACCAAAUAAUUAAAGGUGACGAAGCAGGCAAUGAUCUGACAUGGAUAGAGCCAUUAAUUCCAUUGGCUUUACAACAAGUUAACGUGACCAAUGGCUUCAAUACACAAGUCACUGGGACGAGGGUCCUCAAGCUGGGCUCUUUGUGUGUGUGGAUCGUGUUCGACUAUUGCAAGUGAUUUUCUCCACGAGGGUGUAAUCAGUUUAGCUCAAGGAGAUGUGGUCUCCUGGCAAUAAAUGCUUCACAGUGGGUCUGAUCUGCUUUAUAUCCGGUCACCCGGGGGAAUAUUUGAUUGGGCACCCUCAUGUCGUCAACAUGGG
ensembl:lncRNA